ACGGAGGAUCCGAGCGUUAUCCGGAUUUAUUGGGUUUAAAGGGUGCGUAGGCGGAUCUUUAAGUCAGUGGUGAAAGUUUGCAGCUUAACUGUAAAAUUGCCAUUGAAACUGAAGGUCUUGAGUACAGACGAGGUAAGCGGAAUGUGUAGUGUAGCGGUGAAAUGCUUAGAUAUUACACAGAACACCGAUAGCGAAGGCAGCUUACUAAUAUGUAACUGACGCUGAGGCACGAAAGCGUGGGGAUCAAACAG
rnacentral:rRNA from 1 species